AUUUGGUGUUGAGGGCACUUGAUACAUAUUUUCUUGAAUCGCUCCCAAUAAUCGUAGAGAGACUUCCCCGGAUGCUGUGUAAUGCCGCAUAUUUCCUUUCUCAGACU